rnacentral:rRNA from 1 species
GAUGAACGCUAGCGACAGGCUUAACACAUGCAAGUCGAGGGGCAGCAGGGGAGUAGCAAUACUCCCGCUGGCGACCGGCGCACGGGUGAGUAACACGUAUGCAACCUGCCCUUGUCAGGGGGAUAAGCGGAAGAAAUUCCGUCUAAUACCGCAUAAUGCUGCGGGGAGACAUCUCCCUGCAGCCAAAGAUUUAUCGGACAAGGAUGGGCAUGCGGCGCAUUAGCUUGUUGGCGGGGUAACGGCCCACCAAGGCGACGAUGCGUAGGGGUUCUGAGAGGAAGGUCCCCCACACUGGUACUGAGACACGGACCAGACUCCUACGGGAGGCAGCAGUGAGGAAUAUUGGUCAAUGGCCGGGAGGCUGAACCAGCCAAGUCGCGUGAGGGAAGACGGUCCUAUGGAUUGUAAACCUCUUUUGUCAGGGAGCAAAAACUGCCACGUGUGGCAGGAUGAGAGUACCUGAAGAAAAAGCAUCGGCUAACUCCGUGCCAGCAGCCGCGGUAAUACGGAGGAUGCGAGCGUUAUCCGGAUUUAUUGGGUUUAAAGGGUGCGUAGGCGGACAGUUAAGUCAGCGGUAAAAUUGAGAGGCUCAACCUCUUCCCGCCGUUGAAACUGAUUGUCUUGAGUGGGCGAGAAGUAUGCGGAAUGCGUGGUGUAGCGGUGAAAUGCAUAGAUAUCACGCAGAACUCCGAUUGCGAAGGCAGCAUACCGGCGCCCAACUGACGCUGAAGCACGAAAGCGUGGGUAUCGAACAGGAUUAGAUACCCUGGUAGUCCACGCAGUAAACGAUGAAUACUAAUUGUUCGGGUCAAAUGAGAUCUGAGUGAUACAGCGAAAGCGUUAAGUAUUCCACCUGGGGAGUACGCCGGCAACGGUGAAACUCAAAGGAAUUGACGGGGGCCCGCACAAGCGGAGGAACAUGUGGUUUAAUUCGAUGAUACGCGAGGAACCUUACCCGGGCUCAAACGACACAGGAAUGAUCUGAGAAAUCAGGCAGUCCUCCGGGACCUGUGUCGAGGUGCUGCAUGGUUGUCGUCAGCUCGUGCCGUGAGGUGUCGGCUUAAGUGCCAUAACGAGCGCAACCCCCAUCGACAGUUGCCAGCAGGUCAAGCUGGGCACUCUGUCGAGACUGCCGGCGCAAGCUGUGAGGAAGGCGGGGAUGACGUCAAAUCAGCACGGCCCUUACGUCCGGGGCGAUACACGUGUUACAAUAGCAGGUACAGCGGGAAGCCACCUGGCGACAGGGAGCGGAACCCGAAAGCCUGUCUCAGUUCGGAUUGGAGUCUGCAACUCGACUCCAUGAAGCUGGAUUCGCUAGUAAUCGCGCAUCAGCCACGGCGCGGUGAAUACGUUCCCGGGCCU